UAAUACUAGCGGUCCAAGUCGCAGCCAUUUUUAUUGGGUCUAAAACAUCCGUAGCUUGCUUGAUAAGUUUCCUGUGAAAUCCUAUCUCUCAAAAAUAGGGCGUGCAAGAAAUACUAUCAAGCUAGAGACUGGAAGACGUAAGGAGUACGAUUGAGGUAGCGGUAAAAUGUUUUAAUCUUGGUCGGACUAACAAGAGCGAAGGCACCUUACGAGGACGGUUCUGACAGUAAGGGAUGAAGGCUAGGGGCGCAAAACGGAUUAGAUACCCGUGUAGUCCUAGCAGUAAACACUGCACACUAAACAUUAGUACCUCCCCGAGAGGUAUUGGUGCUGUAGGGAAGCCGAAGAGUGUGCUACCUGGGAAGUAUAGUCGCAAGGCCG
rnacentral:rRNA from 1 species